rnacentral:hammerhead_ribozyme from 1 species
AUUCAGUUGACGAGUCACAAAUAGGACGAAACACGCAUCCUGGAU